UAUCCUGGCUCAGAUUGAACGCUGGCGGCAUGCUUUACACAUGCAAGUCGAACGGCAGCGCGGGGCAACCUGGCGGCGAGUGGCGAACGGGUGAGUAAUAUAUCGGAACGUACCCAAGAGUGGGGGAUAACGUAGCGAAAGUUACGCUAAUACCGCAUACGAUCUAUGGAUGAAAGUGGGGGAUCGCAAGACCUCAUGCUCCUGGAGCGGCCGAUAUCUGAUUAGCUAGUUGGUAGGGUAAAGGCCUACCAAGGCUACGAUCAGUAGCUGGUCUGAGAGGACGACCAGCCACACUGGAACUGAGACACGGUCCAGACUCCUACGGGAGGCAGCAGUGGGGAAUUUUGGACAAUGGGCGCAAGCCUGAUCCAGCAAUGCCGCGUGAGUGAAGAAGGCCUUCGGGUUGUAAAGCUCUUUUGUCAGGGAAGAAACGGUGGGAGCUAAUAUCUCCCGCUAAUGACGGUACCUGAAGAAUAAGCACCGGCUAACUACGUG
rnacentral:rRNA from 1 species